rnacentral:rRNA from 1 species
AUUGAACGCUGGCGGCAUGCCUUACACAUGCAAGUCGAACGGUAACAGGUCUUCGGAUGCUGACGAGUGGCGAACGGGUGAGUAAUACAUCGGAACGUGCCCGAUCGUGGGGGAUAACGAAGCGAAAGCUUUGCUAAUACCGCAUACGAUCUACGGAUGAAAGCAGGGGACCGCAAGGCCUUGCGCGAACGGCGGGGCAGAUGGCAGAUUAGGUGGUUGGGAGGAUAAAAGCUUACCAAGCCGACGAACUUUAGCUGGUCUGAGAGGACGACCAGCCACACUGGGACUGAGACACGGCCCAGACUCCUACGGGAGGCAGCAGUGGGGAAUUUUGGACAAUGGGCGAAAGCCUGAUCCAGCCAUGCCGCGUGCAGGAUGAAGGCCUUCGGGUUGUAAACUGCUUUUAUACAGGAAGAAACGACUCUUGCGAGAGGCAUUGACGGUACUGUAUGAAUAAGCACCGGCUAACUCCGUGCCAGCCGCCGCCGUAAGAC